GCGCUGUAGUGUAGUGGUUAGCACUCAGGAUUCUGACUCCUGCAACCCGAGUUCAAAUCUCGGCAGU
rnacentral:tRNA from 1 species